rnacentral:rRNA from 1 species
GAUGAACGCUGGCGGUGUGCCUAAUACAUGCAAGUCGAGUGGUAAGGUCUCUUCGGAGAUACACGAGCGGCGGACGGGUGAGUAACGCGUAAGAAUGUACCCCAAAGUGAGGGAUAAGCACCAGAAACGGUGUCUAAUACCGCAUGUGCUCUUCGGAGUAAAGCUUCGGCGCUUUGGGAACAGCUUGCGUAUGAUUAGCUAGUUGGUAAGGUAAUGGCUUACCAAGGCGACGAUCAUUAGCGGGUCUGAGAGGAUGAUCCGCCACACUGGGACUGAGACACGGCCCAGACUCCUACGGGAGGCAGCAGUAGGGAAUUUUCCACAAUGGGGGCAACCCUGAUGGAGCAACACCGCGUGCAGGAUGAAGGCCUUCGGGUUGUAAACUGCUUUUGUCUGUGACGAAUAUGACGGUAGCAGACGAAUAAGGAUCGGCUAACUACGUGCCAGCAGCCGCAGUAA